GGAGAGCUGGCCGAGCGGUCGAAGGCGCACGCCUGGAAAGCGUGUAUACGGCAACGUAUCAAGGGUUCGAAUCCCUUGCUCUCCGCCA
rnacentral:tRNA from 1 species